rnacentral:rRNA from 1 species
UCAGAUUGAACGCUGGCGGCAUGCUUUACACAUGCAAGUCGAACGGCAGCACAGGGAGCUUGCUCCCGGGUGACGAGUGGCGGACGGGUGAGUAAUGUCUGGGAAACUGCCUGAUGAGGGGGAUAACUACUGGAAACGGUAGCUAAUACCGCAUAACGUCGCAAGACCAAAGAGGGGGGACCUUCGGGCCUCUUGCCAUCGGAUGUGCCCAGAUGGGAUUAGCUAGUAGGUGGGGUAACGGCUCACCUAGGCGACGAUCCCUAGCUGGUCUGAGAGGAUGAACGGCCACACUGGAACUGAGACACGGUCCAGACUCCUACGGGAGGCAGCGGUGGGGAAUCUUCCGCAAUGGGCGAAAGCCUGACGGAGCAACGCCGCGUGAGUGAUGACGGCCUUCGGGUUGUAAAACUCUGUGAUCCGGGACGAAAAGGCAGAGUGCGAAGAACAAACUGCAUUGACGGUACCGGAAAAGCAAGCCACGGCUAACUACGUG